CAAUAGCGUAUAUUAAAGUUGUUGCAGUUAAAAAGCUCGUAGUUGGAUUUCUGGCCGAGUGUCCCUAGGCCAGCAUGACGUUUGGUCCUAGGCGCUCUGCCAUCCUUCUGUCAACCUUCGCCUUCUUCAUUGGGGGCGCUGGGGCUCAGAUAUUUUACCUUGAGAAAAUUAGGAGUUGUUUCAGGCAGGUCUUCGGACCGGAAUACAUUAGCAGUAGGAAAUAAGUAGGAAAAGGUACUUACCAACCUCUUCUGUUGGUCUGAGAGGCUGUAGUAAUGAUUAAUAGGGAUAGGUUGGGGGCAUUAGUACUUAACUGUCAGAGGUAGAAAUUCUUGGUAUUUAUAGAAAGACUAACUACUGACGAAAGCUAUUUG
rnacentral:rRNA from 1 species